GCGGGCGUGGCGGAAUGGCAGACGCGCAGGACUUAGGAUCCUGUGGGGCAACUCGUGGGGGUUCAAAUCCCUUCGCCCGCACCA
rnacentral:tRNA from 1 species